GAGCGGCUUAUCCUCAGCCAUGCUGUGCAGAUGGUACAAUCAGCUGCACUCGAUGAGAUGUUCCAGCACCGAGAGAGCUGUGUACCUCGAUAUCACAAAGCCCUGCUGUUGUUGGAGGGGCUGCAGCACACUCUCACGGACCAGGCAGACAUUGAGAACAUUGCCAAAUGUGAGUGCCUUUCCUUCCCUGCAGCCUGAGUGGGGUGGUAGGCGUGGCCUCCCUGCCUCAUGCUCUGUCCUCCACAGGCAAGCUGUGCAUUGAGAGGAGACUCUCGGCCCUGCUGAGUGGCGUCUAUGCCUGACCACCUGCUGCCAACCUGCAGGGUAGUGUCUGAGACCUGGCAGACUGUCCUCAACACUGAUCUGAUGGUGCUGAGACUGCUGCCAGCCAACUCCAGCAGGGAUGCUACACGGUGGACCUGUGCAUGCAGACUGGUGCAACUCCUGCUUCCUAGGCUGCCAGUCUCUGCUGGCAGGUAGACAUCAGAGUGCCAGGGACAGCUCCCUUACCCACUGGGACAGGAGUUUCUGAACUGUUCUUCCUAGCUGGCUCCCCUGGCAAGCAGGUACGGCGCCAAGAGGUGGUAGCUGAUGUGUGUGGGCACCUGCCACCUGCAGAGCCCAAGGCAGCCCUGUAGACAGGCAAGGCCCUGAGACUGUUGCUGACUCCAAGCCAAAGCAAGCUUUUUCUCACAGUUCACUUGCCCCAUUGCUCGUCCAAGAAAAAAGGGUAUGGUCUUCUGCCCUCCUGAUCUCUCUAGGAACUUCUCCCUUUGAGACUACCCACCCAGCUUUGUAAGUCACUGGAGCACUUUAUGCAUACAGAGACUGGAGAACCUAGCCAGCAGUGCAGACUGCUGGGAACCUGCCUCCUGUUCCUGGCUUUCGUCC
rnacentral:lncRNA from 1 species